ACAUAGGUCUUGACUAUCAUGUCUAUGCAUAGUGAUUUUAAUAACUUUUUCCCACCCACUAACGUACUGAAGUCAUGCAAAUCAUGACAAACUGUCAAUUUUAAAAAGGGCAUCGAUCAGCUUAUAAGUCCCAACAAAGCAUGAAAUAGACUCUCUAAAGACUGAGUUAGCUAGUUUGCCUGCAUAAUCAAGAAAUGUACUGUGAGAUUGGCAAUGGGGGAGGUGGAUAAGAAGCAUAUUAUUUUCUCUUCUCUUAUGAACUCGUUGGUGUGAAGAACUGGAUGCCUACAUGAUAUUCUGGAAGUUCAUUAAUUUAGUCCACUUUUGCGUCGCAACAAUCUUCAUUGAUAGCUGGGAUUGGUGAAGAAUGAGAGCUAAGGGUUUCCAGACGACAUCAUCGAUCGAGACCCUCAGAUCCGCUGGAGCGACAAACUUCCUUUACCGUUGUCCAGCUUCAUCGUCUUUAUCAUCGUUGCAUCGCAUCAUUUCCGAUCAUCGUUGUCAACUUCAACAUCCCUAGCUCUCAAUCAUUGUCCUUGUCCCUCUCGCCGUAAUUGUCGCUAGCCUAUAGCAAGGACCCCAAUUGCAUCAUUUCGUCAUCGUCGUCGUCGUCAUCAUCAUCAUCAUCGCCGUCGAGAACAUUUUCAUUAUAAUCGUCAUUGUGAUUUUCCCAAAUACCAAGAAGCAUAUAUACGAUAACAUUAUCUAGUAAUUAUCGUCGUCGUCGUCAUCGUCGUCGACGAGAUUUUUAGAAAUACCAUAAAAGAAAGGAACUGGAAUAUAUCGAGGCUGUCCGUAUUUCGACCUCGGAUUAGACAAAAACAGGACCUGCAAAAGUUGGAUUAUCCACGUUAAUCCCCGUAUAUACAUCAUUGCUCAGCAUGAUCUCUUCAACGUACAAAGGUCAAGUGGUCCUGUGCCUCGUCUUCAUCGUCUACGUCAUGAUGUUGAUCAGGACGACGACAUCGACCGAGUUGAUCGAAGACCACGGACGAGAUACCAUGAAAGUGAAGAGAGUGAAGCCUUAUCAGAAGAAACACCCGACCUACCAAGCCUGUUUUGACGCCGUUCGAGGAAAGCGAUGUCUAUGUGAUUCUCGAGUCAACAAGAAUAGCCCAGAUUACUUUGUAUGCUAAAAAAAUAUUACCAAUAUGAAAAUCAUAAGCAGCAGCAGUAACAACAACAACAUCAAUAUCAUCAAAAGAAAAUCCCGAAUGAUGUUUCGAACUAAAUUUCAACAUCAUGCUUUGCACAACUCUGUUUUGGUCAAAAUGCCCUUUGUCAAAGCGAAAUGAUUUUAGACUUUUUGAGAGGCAAAACAUAUCACAUAUUGUGGAAAUAAAUGAGUUGAAUAAUAAACUCCAAAUACAUAUAUAUAUUUAGUUAUGUAUUGUAUACGCAUCGAUUAUCAUAUAAAAAAAAAUCCUCUCCAACAUUGAUAAAACAAAGUUGUGCUGCUUCAAACGUCCACGACAUACUUACAAAAAUGCUGCAACGUCGGCCCUAUAUAUAUAUCUCUAAUACAUUGUUUACUGGUUAUUUGAAGAUUCACCGGCUAUAAUGGUUUUAUUAAAAUAUCCACAUAUCACAGUCAAUUAGGCUUAAUUGUAUUGGGUUUUAAAAAUAUAACAAUUCAAUAAUAGUGGUAUUUUUUAUUUAAUUUUCUAUUCGCAUCCUACUCGUCUAUUUUUAGUGUACACAUUUUUUCGAGAGAAUAUUUCAUCAAAUAUUCUUGUAGAUUUAUCAUAAUUAAGGGAUCAAACGUAGAUAAAAAAAUAUGUAAAUCAUUGUCCAAUGGUGUAUGGAGAAUGUCAUAUUGUAAACUGAAAGGAACUUUAUUAUCUUAUUGUUAUUACAUUAUUAUUACUGAGGUAAUAUCUUCAUGUCAGAUGUGCUUCUAUUAAUUUUCACUGAGAUAAGUACCUCAUUUGCUCAUAUUUGUUAAUCAUGAUAAUUGCAAAUGAAACUUCUGUAAUAAAUUGUGUUCUCUUUCAG